rnacentral:rRNA from 1 species
GACGAGGGGUCCAAGCGUUAAUCGGAAUUACUGGGCGUAAAGCGUGCGCAGGCGGUUUUGUAAGACUGUCGUGAAAUCCCCGGGCUCAACCUGGGAAUGGCGAUGGUGACUGCAAGGCUAGAGUUUGGCAGAGGGGGGUAGAAUUCCACGUGUAGCAGUGAAAUGCGUAGAUAUGUGGAGGAACACCGAUGGCGAAGGCAGCCCCCUGGGUCAAAACUGACGCUCAUGCACGAAAGCGUGGGGAGCAAACAGG